rnacentral:rRNA from 1 species
UACGUAGGGUGCGAGCGUUAAUCGGAAUUACUGGGCGUAAAGCGUGCGCAGGCGGUUCCAUAAGACAGAUGUGAAAUCCCCGGGCUUAACCUGGGAACUGCGUUUGUGACUGCAAGGCUAGAGUGUAGCAGAGGGGGGUAGGAAUUCCACGUGUAGCAGUGAAAUGCGUAGAUAUGUGGAGGAAUACCGAUGGCGAAGGCAGCCCCUCGGGCUAACACUGACGCUCAUGCACGAAAGCGUGGGG